UGGCUCAACCGGGAUUUCAACCCAGGACCUCUCACACCCGAAGCAAGAAUCAUUCCUCUAGACCAUUGAGCC
rnacentral:tRNA from 13 species